GAUGAACGCUGGCGGCGUGCCUAAUACAUGCAAGUCGAGCGAACGGACGAGAAGCUUGCUUUUCUGAUGUUAGCGGCGGACGGGUGAGUAACACGUGGAUAACCUACCUAUAAGACUGGGAUAACUUCGGGAAACCGGAGCUAAUACCGGAUAAUAUUUUGAACCGCAUGGUUCAAAAGUGAAAGACGGUCUUGCUGUCACUUAGAGAUGGAUCCGCGCUGCAUUAGCUAGUUGGUAAGGUAACGGCUUACCAAGGCAACGAUGCAUAGCCGACCUGAGAGGGUGAUCGGCCACACUGGAACUGAGACACGGUCCAGACUCCUACGGGAGGCAGCAGUAGGGAAUCUUCCGCAAUGGGCGAAAGCCUGACGGAGCCACGCCGCGUGAGUGAUGAAGGUCUUCGGAUCGUAAAACUCUGUUAUUAGGGAAGAACAUAUGUGUAAGUAACUGUGCCCAUCUUGACGGUACCUAAUCAGAAAGCCACGGCUAACUACGUG
rnacentral:rRNA from 1 species